UUUACAAUGUAGCUCACACUGCAUGCAGGCUAACUGAUGUUUAUUACGACAUUAUAAGAGAUUGGCGAGUUUUUAUAUUGUCAUGUUUUUGUUUCUCAAGUAAAUAAUCCGGAUUGAAAAUCCAAAAAAUGCUUGAUUACCAUAUUACCAUAUGCUGAAUUCCAGGAAAGGAGAGUGCCUAACCUCAGUUAAAUGACCCUGUCGAUUCAUGAGCGGACCCGCUACAAGACCCUCGACAGGACCCCCUACAGGACCAGAUGGGUCUGGGACAUGUUUUCAGUUCCGUGCAAGGAGCCACCAUCACACCAUGGUUUCCCACCUGAUAUUCUUCACGACCUCCUUGAGGGCAUUGUGCCAGUGGAGUUGGCGUUAUGCUUGCAGGAGAUGAUACACCUCAGGAAGAUUGUUCUUGACACCAAGAAGAUUUAUCUCACGUAGAAAGAGAUUCACCUAAGCAAGAACAAAGAUGACACAACCCCCUGGUUGGUUGCUAAGGGUGUAUAUUAAUUCAGACACAGCUCACAAGACCAUCCACAUUAGAGGAAUUUAUAUAAUUUAUUCAAGAGAGAUUUAACUUUUCUCUUCAAUAUGAAGACCCUGACUUUGAUGGGGAACUCUGCGUCUUGACAGCAUUGUCAGAGUUGCCCUCAAAGCCUGUGGUCAAGAUAAUAAGACUGGACAAUUUAAAUGACUGCCCUCCCCCAGAAUUCACUGCCCAGACUCAGUAACGCACCCAGAGACGGCCCAAUGAAUUCCCAGUUCCAAAAUGUUCCUAUGAUGUGGAACACAUACUUUAGGCCGGUAACACGGUAUAUAAUACCACACAAACACCCAUACAACUCACAAAAGAACAGAAACAUGAUGUUUUAGAAAAAAGGGCUGAGGUCAUUUUUAGUUUCAAUGCCUAUUUCAGUGAUGAGGAGUUGGCAGAAUCUGCAGAGGCAUUAGUGCGCAAGAACCCUUGCCUAAAACAGCGUGGGAGUGAUUGUGGUUGGUUGACUUUGCAGACCAGCUUAUUUUUUAAAAUGGGUAACUAUUUUCACAAGUUGAGUAGAACUUGGUGUCUAGAGGUAGCAGUUAAACUCAGGCAAAAGAAGCCAGUCUAACCCUGAUGGAGCGGCAUCCCACGCAAACAUUUAAAAAAGCGCUGAGCUGAGUUGAAUUACCUGCCAAACUUCCCCAAAGGAGAAAAUGCCACAAGUUCUGAACAGUUCAGACUGCAACUUCUUGAAGAAAUUUCAAGGGCCCGAGACAGAUCUAGUUUUAGUUGAUAGGCUUAUGAACACUACCUUUGCACUGCGCAGAAAGCACUUUAUUGUGGAGAACCCGUCACAUCCUGCAAGUGAAAUCCUGGAAAAUUGGCCUGCUCUUCGAAUGGAGUCACAAAUUUCUGAAUUGCUAAGGAACAUCUUCAGGACCUAUGGUCUCCUUGAAGACAUCGAUGUCAACAGCAGACAGAAAAUUACUCUGCAGGCCCUUCCCAUCUUCCUGCGGGAAGAUGCUGCUGGAUUUUUUAAGAACAGGAACAUACGCAUUUGAUUCAACUGUGUGUCCUUCUAUUUAACCCUCUUUGAUACUACCUUGCAACCAAAGAGGAGUGAUAACUUAAGAAUAUCAACUCCAUUUCUAGCGUCAAUUUUGUUAGUUUUAACAAUGGAUUCAAAAUGAUCAAGUUCAUUGAACUUAUCCAAAAUUUAAAUAGCGAUUACUUCAAAUGUUUGUUUGUCAAUUUAUAUGUUUCAAUUCAUCAACUUCCUCAAAGAAAAUUAGUGUGAAUAAGUUGUCUAGUUUAGAGUAGUAAAUACUUAAAAUGUUUGUUUGUUGAAAUUAUUUGUUUUGAUUGAACAUGAUCACGUUCUCCUCGCUGUGCUCACUCUGAAUCAGUACUUGAUCAUGCGUGGAAUUAAGGAUGUUGGUUUUUCCCCAGAGAGAAGACGGCUGUCGAAUUAACUAAUAAAAUCGAUAUUUCACAAAUAUUUUUUUAGGAUGUCAGAACCAAAACACUAAUUGAUGAUGCAGGCCUAAGACAUAAUGAGUCCUACACCAAUGGUGACCCCAAUCUACAGACAUUGAAGCUAAUUUGAUUUACUGAUUGCUGUCGGGAUGUAAAGACAUUUAAAAAAAAAGAUGACAAAAAUGCUUAUAAAAUAAAUUGCUGUGUUCUUUGAAGUGUUUGUGGGUUUCAGUUCUAAAUAUUAAAUGGAGGAGAUGUUGUAUUCUCCAUCUCUUCUCUCCACCUGGUCUCAGCCCGAGGCCCCAGGAAGGACCACUCCGGUACCCACCCCUGGGUCCCCGGCAGAGUGCCCCUCCCACCGGAGCCUUGGGGAGCUCCUGCAGCGAUACUAGGGCCUCCUGGGGGGUAAACUGGACCACCUGGCCAUCGCCCUUCAGAACACCACCUGUCUCCACCGCUCAACUUCCUCGUCAUAAACAUGUGUGUAAAUGACCUCAUCGAGCGUCAGUCAGGAGCGACCACUUCACUCACCAGGAGAGAAAGAAGAGGAAAAUUAAUGUAAUUGUUGGAGGACUGAAGUGCGUGGAAGUUGUUUGUGUGCACUGUGUUGUUGGACAAAGCUGUUCUCAGGAGGACAGCAUUAAGGGUAGAUGUUUGGGACAUUUCCAUAAGUGGAAAAUGUAAAUAAACAGAAUCAAACAGCAAUCAUUUGGGCCAAAUGUUUUGCUAUAAAUAAUUACGUUCUGCCUGAUUUUAAUCAGUAUCAGAUUUGGCAUCCAGCCUCUCCUGCUGUGUGCUGUAACAAAUGCAACCCAUUCUCACAGAAAUACGUGACACUGUCACGUCAUAUAAUCUAUUCAUUCGUGAUCUGGCACACGUCAUUUUUUUUUUUUCCGUUGCGGUUUGCCUCCAGAGCAGCGCACCUGCAUUAAAUAUAUCCGUGAAUUGCCACAAUUUCUCAGAAUCAAAAGUGAAAGUAGAAACGGGUGGCCAAAAGCAGUCUUAUUGUUAGUUAUCACAGACAAUUUUUCUGUGUUUUUGUUGAAAAAUCUUGAAACAAAUGAGAAAAAUAAACAAUAAAUUAUCUGUAGGCCUAGGGACAUUAGGUACAUGAGUUUGACAUUUCUGCUUUUUGGCACGAAAAAAUUUAAAUGACGUGUCCCAGAUCACGAAUGAAUAGAUAAAUUAAAUGACGUGUCAAUGUCACGUAUUUCCGUGAGACUGGGUUGACAAACAAUGAUACCAACUUAAGUCCUAUAGAUCGCAGAAAGAGGUGGGUUGCAUGUUUGCAAAGGAAUUAAAAACAGAUGAUUACAGGAACAUUAUAUAAACAUUAUUUUGUCUAUGUGAAUCAAUUCCUUUGAACCAGGAUAUAUAUCUUGGCCACAAUCUGUGUUCUAACUACGGCCGUCCCCUCAUUAUAUAUAAUGAUGCUUACGAUGGUACUCCAAUGAAGUACACAAUAAAAGAAGUGAAGUAACUGCUAAUGGAAAAAA